UUGUUGGUUUCAAUGUUGCCGAUGCAUUUGCGGCUUAUUUCUUCUUUCCCAUUGUCACUGUGCCUCAUUCAAUGACUUGUCAAUAUUUCUGCCUCCUCAUUUUACUCUAAUUGCUAGCUUCCGAUUUCUUUAAUUUUGCGAUUUCCUUUGAUUUUAUUUUUGCAAUUUUCUUAUUAAAUUGUCUAAGCAUUGUAUUAUAACUUACGGGUUUCGAUUCAAUUUAUCAAUGUCAUGAAUGUAGAGGCCCAUUUGUGCCUACAGGGGAAUGUUGCUAUUCACCACAGUAGGGGAAUGCUGUAAUUUUGCAUCAGCACAACAGCACAUCGCAGCAGCGGGCACCUACUGCUGUGCAACAAUUGUGUAGCAUAGCAGCAGCAACUCUUAACUGUUGUGCAACAUAGAAGCAACAACAGCUGCUGUGCAGCACAAAAGUAACAUUAGCUGCAUCAGUUGCUGUGCAACACAGAAGUAGCAACAGUUGUUAUGCAAUGCAGAAACAGCAGCAGCUGCAACUGUGCAUCACAGAAGCAGCAGCAACUGCAAGCAACUAUCACAGCAGAUUUAAGAAACAGAUUAACAAAGUUGAAGCAUAAAAUACAAAAGCUUAAGUAAAAUUUACUUUGGCAUUGUUUGUGAUGAUUAUUAAUUACUUUGGUAGCAUAGUUUUUAAUAUAGAAAAAUUCAUAGUUGC